rnacentral:tRNA from 1 species
GCGGGAAUAGCUCAGUUGGUAGAGCGCAACCUUGCCAAGGUUGAGGUCGCGAGUUCGAGUCUCGUUUCCCGCUCSA